UCUUCGCGUCGCUUCUCUGGCUCUCCACAAGACCAAAACUACCGACUCUAACAAUUGCUUAAACGCUUAGUGCUUCUCCGUCCUUGACUACCGGCGUCCGGCUCACCGCCUCCGGUCAGCAGGAACACCGGCGUCCGGCCAAGCUGCAACCGCGGCUCUCAUCUCCUCUCCGUAAUCAGUAAUCAGUGUUAGAUGCUCCCAAGGUGGAGGAAAUGGAAGCCCAAUCAAGAUAACAAGUCUUCAUGAUCUGUACGAGAAGCGUGUGGCCGUGUUACAUAUCUAAUUCCAUUGAUUGAGAGAGUGUCAAAGGCGUUACCAGCAAUCUUGCGUUAUGGAAAAAAUUUUCAAAAGAAAAUCAACUUUUGGGGAUUCAUCUAGUCAAAGUAGUCGCGAAGUGUCAAGUACAAGGCCCCGUAUU